rnacentral:rRNA from 1 species
AGCGUACACGGUGGAUGCCCUGGCAGUCAGAGGCGAUGAAGGACGUGCUAAUCUGCGAUAAGCGUCGGUAAGGUGAUAUGAACCGUUAUAACCGGCGAUUUCCGAAUGGGGAAACCCAGUGUGUUUCGACACACUAUCAUUAACUGAAUCCAUAGGUUAAUGAGGCGAACCGGGGGAACUGAAACAUCUAAGUACCCCGAGGAAAAGAAAUCAACCGAGAUUCCCCCAGUAGCGGCGAGCGAACGGGGAGGAGCCCAGAGCCUGAAUCAGUGUGUGUGUUAGUGGAAGCGUCUGGAAAGGCGCGCGAUACAGGGUGACAGCCCCGUACACAAAAAUGCACAUGCUGUGAGCUCGAUGAGUAGGGCGGGACACGUGGUAUCCUGUCUGAAUAUGGGGGGACCAUCCUCCAAGGCUAAAUACUCCUGACUGACCGAUAGUGAACCAGUACCGUGAGGGAAAGGCGAAAAGAACCCCGGCGAGGGGAGUGAAAAAGAACCUGAAACCGUGUACGUACAAGCAGUGGGAGCACAGAGCAAUCUGUGUGACUGCGUACCUUUUGUAUAAUGGGUCAGCGACUUAUAUUCUGUAGCAAGGUUAACCGAAUAGGGGAGCCGAAGGGAAACCGAGUCUUAACUGGGCGUUAAGUUGCAGGGUAUAGACCCGAAACCCGGUGAUCUAGCCAUGGGCAGGUUGAAGGUUGGGUAACACUAACUGGAGGACCGAACCGACUAAUGUUGAAAAAUUAGCGGAUGACUUGUGGCUGGGGGUGAAAGGCCAAUCAAACCGGGAGAUAGCUGGUUCUCCCCGAAAGCUAUUUAGGUAGCGCCUCGUGAAUUCAUCUCCGGGGGUAGAGCACUGUUUCGGCAAGGGGGUCAUCCCGACUUACCAACCCGAUGCAAACUGCGAAUACCGGAGAAUGUUAUCACGGGAGACACACGGCGGGUGCUAACGUCCGUCGUGAAGAGGGAAACAACCCAGACCGCCAGCUAAGGUCCCAAAGUCAUGGUUAAGUGGGAAACGAUGUGGGAAGGCCCAGACAGCCAGGAUGUUGGCUUAGAAGCAGCCAUCAUUUAAAGAAAGCGUAAUAGCUCACUGGUCGAGUCGGCCUGCGCGGAAGAUGUAACGGGGCUAAACCAUGCACCGAAGCUGCGGCAGCGACACUGUGUGUUGUUGGGUAGGGGAGCGUUCUGUAAGCCUGUGAAGGUGUACUGUGAGGUAUGCUGGAGGUAUCAGAAGUGCGAAUGCUGACAUAAGUAACGAUAAAGCGGGUGAAAAGCCCGCUCGCCGGAAGACCAAGGGUUCCUGUCCAACGUUAAUCGGGGCAGGGUGAGUCGACCCCUAAGGCGAGGCCGAAAGGCGUAGUCGAUGGGAAACAGGUUAAUAUUCCUGUACUUGGUGUUACUGCGAAGGGGGGACGGAGAAGGCUAUGUUGGCCGGGCGACGGUUGUCCCGGUUUAAGCGUGUAGGCUGGUUUUCCAGGCAAAUCCGGAAAAUCAAGGCUGAGGCGUGAUGACGAGGCACUACGGUGCUGAAGCAACAAAUGCCCUGCUUCCAGGAAAAGCCUCUAAGCAUCAGGUAACAUCAAAUCGUACCCCAAACCGACACAGGUGGUCAGGUAGAGAAUACCAAGGCGCUUGAGAGAACUCGGGUGAAGGAACUAGGCAAAAUGGUGCCGUAACUUCGGGAGAAGGCACGCUGAUAUGUAGGUGAAGUCCCUCGCGGAUGGAGCUGAAAUCAGUCGAAGAUACCAGCUGGCUGCAACUGUUUAUUAAAAACACAGCACUGUGCAAACACGAAAGUGGACGUAUACGGUGUGACGCCUGCCCGGUGCCGGAAGGUUAAUUGAUGGGGUCAGCGCAAGCGAAGCUCUUGAUCGAAGCCCCGGUAAACGGCGGCCGUAACUAUAACGGUCCUAAGGUAGCGAAAUUCCUUGUCGGGUAAGUUCCGACCUGCACGAAUGGCGUAAUGAUGGCCAGGCUGUCUCCACCCGAGACUCAGUGAAAUUGAACUCGCUGUGAAGAUGCAGUGUACCCGCGGCAAGACGGAAAGACCCCGUGAACCUUUACUAUAGCUUGACACUGAACAUUGAGCCUUGAUGUGUAGGAUAGGUGGGAGGCUUUGAAGUGUGGACGCCAGUCUGCAUGGAGCCGACCUUGAAAUACCACCCUUUAAUGUUUGAUGUUCUAACGUGGACCCGUGAUCCGGGUUGCGGACAGUGUCUGGUGGGUAGUUUGACUGGGGCGGUCUCCUCCUAAAGAGUAACGGAGGAGCACGAAGGUUGGCUAAUCCUGGUCGGACAUCAGGAGGUUAGUGCAAUGGCAUAAGCCAGCUUGACUGCGAGCGUGACGGCGCGAGCAGGUGCGAAAGCAGGUCAUAGUGAUCCGGUGGUUCUGAAUGGAAGGGCCAUCGCUCAACGGAUAAAAGGUACUCCGGGGAUAACAGGCUGAUACCGCCCAAGAGUUCAUAUCGACGGCGGUGUUUGGCACCUCGAUGUCGGCUCAUCACAUCCUGGGGCUGAAGUAGGUCCCAAGGGUAUGGCUGUUCGCCAUUUAAAGUGGUACGCGAGCUGGGUUUAGAACGUCGUGAGACAGUUCGGUCCCUAUCUGCCGUGGGCGCUGGAGAACUGAGGGGGGCUGCUCCUAGUACGAGAGGACCGGAGUGGACGCAUCACUGGUGUUCGGGUUGUCAUGCCAAUGGCACUGCCCGGUAGCUAAAUGCGGAAGAGAUAAGUGCUGAAAGCAUCUAAGCACGAAACUUGCCCCGAGAUGAGUUCU